rnacentral:rRNA from 1 species
UACAGAGGUCCCAAGCGUUGUUCGGAUUCACUGGGCGUAAAGGGGGCGUAGGCGGUCGGGUAAGUCUGAUGUGAAAUCUCACAGCUUAACUGUGAAACUGCAUUGGAUACUAUCCGGCUCGAGGAACGGAGGGGAGACUGGAAUACUUGGUGUAGCAGUGAAAUGCGUAGAUAUCAAGUGGAACACCAGUGGCGAAGGCGAGUCUCUGGACAUUUCCUGACGCUGAGGCACGAAAGCCAGGGGAGCAAACGGG